GAAUGUAUGGCUCAGUGGUAGAGUGUGUGCUUAGCUUGCAGGAGGUCCUGGGUUCAAUCCCUAGUACCUCCA
rnacentral:tRNA from 1 species